AGUGAACGCUGGCGGUAGGCCUAACACAUGCCAGUCGAACGGCAGCACAGUAAGAGCUUGCUCUUACGGGUGGCGAGUGGCGGACGGGUGAGGAAUACAUCGGAAUCUACUUUUUCGUGGGGGAUAACGUAGGGAAACUUACGCUAAUACCGCAUACGACCUACGGGUGAAAGCAGGGGAUCUUCGGACUUUGCGCGAUUGAAUGAGCCGAUGUCGGAUUAGCUAGUUGGCGGGGUAAAGGCCCACCAAGGCGACGAUCCGUAGCUGGUCUGAGAGGAUGAUCAGCCACACUGGAACUGAGACACGGUCCAGACUCCUACGGGGGGCAACAGUGGGGAAUAUUGGACAAUGGGCGCAAGCCUGAUCCAGCCAUACCGCGUGGAUGAAGAAGGCCUUCGGGUUGUAAAGCCCUUUUGUUGGGAAAGAAAAGCAGCAGGUUAAUACCCCGCUGUUCUGACGGUACCCAAAGAAUAAGCACCGGCUAACUUCGUG
rnacentral:rRNA from 1 species